AGGAGGGCGGGCCCGUGGAGCUGUUCGCCGUGCGGGCGGAUCUUCUCUUAACUUUCCGACCUGGGAUGGAUCUGGUGCUCAACUCCAGGUAAUCACGCUCCAAUGGCCAUGGUCCAGCUGCAGGUACGAAGCAGGCGUCUGUGUUGAUUUUAAUAUGACCUGGAUAUGAUUUCUCCAAGAAAUACAUGAGUAUCUAUGUCAGUUAUUUUACGAACGGGAACAAACUGUUCUGGAAUGAUCUUCCUUUUUCCUUUGCGAUCGAUCGUGUUCGUUCAGCCAUUCUUGAUCAGAAUAAUACUGUUUCAUUAAUUUUUAAUGAAAGUAGCUGAGUUACUAACUGAAGCGUCGCCUUUGCCAUAGAUGCGCGGACCACGCCCUCCACCAUAAGAAAAGAAGCUUAGCUCUCUGGUUCAUUGUUCAAGAUAUUCAGCACCCACUCAUUCCCUGUUUUCAUGAGCUUCCGUUUUUUAGCAUGGAAUGUCGAGCUUGAUAAAUAUUGUAUCAUCAUCAUGGAUGAAGUACAUGAAAGAUUCAUUAAUACUGAAGCUUUGUCUGGUAUACUGAAGAAGGUUGUUGCAACACGAAAUGAUUUUAAGCUAAUUUUCUCAUCUGCAACUAUAAAUGAAAAUAUAAAUGCAAAUCUUUGGAGGUAUACCUGUAUUUAACAUUCCAUGUAGGACAUUUUCAACUAAGAUCUUGUUCAGGAAAGCACUGUGUGAAGAUUAUGUGGAAGCGUAUGUGAAUCUUUAAGAUAUUGAAGAAGGUUUUUACUGCUGAGAGAUAUUAACUUCGACUUGUAAAGAAUAUCAGCAGAGGAAGUUGGCACUUAGGAGCCACUGUCCAAGCCUCAGUGUACUGCACGACAAUUCUCCCUAGCAUUUGUCAUCAUUCCUGCUGGUCCAGGGGCCCAUGCUCUUCUUUUUGUGUGUAGAUUGAUCAUGUGUACAAUGAGUAAGAAAUAAGUACUGCUAUAAUCAAAUAUUAUGCUAAGAAGUAGCAUUUAAUAUUCUAACAUGUUUAUGAUCAUUGUUGUUUAUUGUAUUUGUUGUUUAAAACCUCUUCAACUAUCUUCUUAUGACCUUUUGUUUAAUAGGAAAGAAUUUUUCUACCUUAGGCAUUCAAAAAACUGACGGUGCUCAAAGUACAAGAUGCCCAUGUAGAAAUAAGGCAUGAUGUAUUCUUUGGUACUUGUUUUCCUGCAUCUCACACUCCAUAGCAGUGGUCUUUCUUUUAUUUGUAUAGAUACCGCUGGCUCAUAAGUGGUUUUCAGCAGGCUACCCAUUUCGUGAUGAUUAGAACAAGGUUCUACCAUGUUCAAUCUAAAUAUCCGUGGGCUUCUUACCUGCAUAUUUUAAGAAACAAAAGUUGGCAAUGAAUCUCGAGAUACUUAAUUAUGUGUUCGGUAAGAUGUCACGGCUUGGUAAGUUGUCGAUCUGUACCAUGUUAAUUAAGUUUUCUUAUUCACUCUAAAGGAUCAUCAUGUGAUUAGUAGAUGUGAGAACCAAAUUAUAACUUGGAGCUUUAGAAGAACCUAAACUAAUAUUGUUAGUGACAGGAGUUUCAGAGAUUGAAUAGUGAGCUUCUUGAUUACAGUUGGAUAUAAUAUAUUGCUUGGUGUUCGUGCUGAUUUAUACGUGUUGGAAAUAUGCCCUAAUUUUUUUUUACAAUGCACUUGUCUUUCAAUCCUAUAAUAAAUCGGUGUAAACAUAGAAGGACUAAAACAAUGGUUUCAUUAUUGGGAAUUUUAUGUGCCAUGUGCUCUUAUACUUUUCGCAUGAAAGUUUGAAGAUAAUCUGAAAAAAUCUCUUGUUGGAAACUCGGCUAUUGCUUUGUAGAAAUACAUUUAUCUAUAGGAUUCUCUAACGUCUUGAUAGGUUUCACUUUUCAGAAUUAAAAGAAAGUAUCUAUAGUAUAAGAUUCCUAUUUUAUAAAUUUUCUCUUACUUUCACCAUCGUAAUUUCUGGUCCAGGUACCUAUCAACUUAAGUUUUCUCGCUGUGAUAUUACUAUUAAUUUUUAUAGUUUUUUGCAAGUUAAAGUUCUACCAUGAAUUGGGUUUGGGUUCCUUUGGCAUACUUCCGCUGGUGUGGAGGUCAUAUGUGCAGAGAUGGAGCAUCAACGGGCGUGCCUACAGCUAGAAAGACGCAUCACGGGAGACCUACAACAUGCUCUGCCAGGGGAGCACAAACUGGAGAAUGAACACACCCAUCUAGGACUCGGUUGCAACCCUUAAAUGCAAAUUCUUUUGCUGGUUGGCGAUACGACACAGGUUGUGGACCUCCGAUCGCAGAGUGAGGCAUGGCUUGCAAGAACACCCUUACGUUUGCUUCCCCUGUCUCCAGGUCGAGGAUAAUGUGGAUCACAUUCUGGUUCAAUGCCCUUACGCGGGGCAAGUCUGGCUAGGCUGCUUUUCUAGAGUGCAGCUACAGAUACAGGGAUCACAACAACAACAUGGAGAUAACCUGGAGCGGUGGUGGACUGAAUCUAGGAAAGGAGUGCGUAGGUUUAACAGAACGAGAUUCAACUCUCUGAUCCUGGUGGCAUGGACCCUCUAGAAGGAGAGGAAUGCGAGAGUGUUGAAUAGCUAUGAACAACAACUAAACUCGGAGCAGAUUAUUCACCGGAUUGCAGAAGAGUUUCAGUUAUGGGAGCUAGCUAGGAGAGGAGGGAGCAACGAUCAAUCACAAGAGUACACUUUUCGUAGGAAGGCUGUUGGUGUGUGUGUGUGUUCGGGAUGUGUGUCUCCAUAUACAGAUGGUUGCUUUUCGUAGGAAGGCUGUUGGUGUGUGUGUUCGGGAUAUGUGUCCCCAUAUACAGAUGGUUGCAUUAGCCCUCGAAUUCUUGUAAUUACUAUGCUUCUUCUAUAAAGAUAAGUCAAGUUGUGUGUGU